CUGCUAAAUAGUAUGGUCAGCUUUUGCUGGGAGCAUACUUCUUAGAGGGACUAUCGGCUUCAAGCCGAUGGAAGUUUGAGGCAAUAACAGGUCUGUGAUGCCCUUAGAUGUUCUGGGCCGCACGCGCGCUACACUGACGGAGCCAGCGAGUACAUCCUUGGCCGAGAGGUCCG
rnacentral:rRNA from 1 species